UACAGAGGUCUCAAGCGUUGUUCGGAUUCAUUGGGCGUAAAGGGUGCGUAGGCGGCGCGGUAAGUCGGGUGUGAAAUCUCGGAGCUUAACUGUCGAGGUGCAAUUGAUACUGAUGGACUUGAGUACUGAUGAGGUAAGCGGAAUGGACGGUGUAGCGGUGAAAUGCUUAGAUAUCGUCCAGAACACCGAUAGCGAAGGCAGCUUACUAAGGAGUAACUGACGCUGAGGCACGAAAGUGUGGGGAUCAAACAGG
rnacentral:rRNA from 1 species